rnacentral:rRNA from 1 species
UACGGAGGGCGCAAGCGUUGUUCGGAAUCACUGGGCGUAAAGCGCGUGUAGGCGGCUUGGCAAGUCGGGUGUGAAAGCCCGGGGCCUAACCCCGGAACUGCAUUCGAAACUGCCUCGCUCGAGUCCCGGAGAGGAUGGUGGAAUUCCCGGUGUAGUGGUGAAAUACGUAGAUAUCGGGAGGAACACCCGCGGCGAAGGCGGCCAUCUGGGCGGUGACUGACGCUGAGACGCGAAAGCGUGGGGAGCAAACAUG